UCACCUAACUCUACAAGGGAAAAUCUGACUGGCAAAUCUUUGGUCUGUUAUACUUAAACGCUUAUCCAAACUACUGAGUAAUCACUUAAUUCUACAACCGCUGAGCUGGAAACUCUACUGGUCAGAUCUUUGGGCUGUAAUACUUAUCCAGACUACUGAGUGAUCACCUAAUUCUACAAUCGCUGAGCUGGAAACUCUACUGGGCAGAUCUUUGGGCUGUAAUACUUGAACGUUUCUCCAAAGGGAAAAUCUGACUGUCUUUUCUUUCUGAUGUAAUACUUAAACACUUAUCCAAUCUAUUGAGUGAUCACCUAAUUCUACAAGGAUUAACUUUGUUUGGCAAAUCUUCGGGCAUAAUCUGGCUGGCAAAUCUUUGGGAUGUAAUAGUUAAACACUUAUCCAAAGGGCAUAAUCUGGCUGGCAAAUCUUUGGGCUGUUAUACUUAAACGCUUAUCCAAACUACUGAGUAACCACCUAAUUCUACAUCCGCUGAGCUGGAAACUCUACUUGGCAAAUCUUUUGGAUGUAAUACUUAUCCAAACUAAUGAGUGAUCUUCUAAUUCUACAAGGACAAACUUUGUCUGACAAAUCUUUGUGAUGUAAUACUUUAACAUUUCUCCAAAGGGAAAAUCUGACUGUCUUAUCUUUCUGAUGUAAUACUUAAACACUUAUCCAAUCUAUUGAGUGAUCACCUAAUUCUACAAGGAUAAACUUUGUUUGGCAAAUCUUCGGGCAUAAUCUGGCUGGCAAAUCUUUGGGAUGUAAUAGUUAAACACUUAUCCAAAAAAAGUCUGGCUGGCAAAUCUUUGAGCUAUAAUACUUAGACGCUUUUCCAAACUAUUGAGUAAUUACCUAAUUCAACAAUUGAAAAUCUGGCUGGCAGAUCUUUGGGCUGUAAUACUUAUCCAGACUACUGAGUGAUCACCUAAUUCUACAAGGAUAAACUUUGUCUGGCAAAUCUUCGGGCUGUAUUACUUUAACAUUUCUCCAAAUUCCACAGGGGAAAAUCUGACUGUCUUAUCUUUCUGAUGUAAUACUUAAACACUUAUCCAAUCUAUUGAGUGAUCACCUAAUUCUACAAGGAUAAACUUUGUUUGGCAAAUCUUCGGGCAUAAUCUGGCUGGCAAAUCUUUGGGAUGUAAUAGUUAAACACUUAUCCAAAGGCAUAAUCUGGCUGGCAAAUCUUUGGGCUGCUAUACUUAAACGCUUAUACAAACUACUGAGUAAUCACCUAAUUCUACAACCGCUGAGCAGGAAACUCUACUUGGCAAAUCUAUGGGCUGUAAUACUUAAAUGCUUACCCGCUGAUAACUUAAUCGCAGGAAGUUUAUUAAAUCAGUAUAAAUCAAAUAAUAAUAUGCAUCAUGUAAAUUUUAAUAAAUU